rnacentral:rRNA from 1 species
UACGUAGGGGGGCAAGCGUUGUCCGGAUUCAUUGGGCGUAAAGAGCGUGUAGGCGGCCAGGUAGGUCGGUUGUGGAAACUGGAGGCUCAACCUUCAGAGGUCGACCGAAACCAUCUGGCUAGAGUCCGGGAGAGGAGAGUGGAAUUCCUGGUGUAGCGGUGGAAUGCGUAGAGAUCCGGAAGAACACCGGUGGCGAAGGCGGCCUGCUGGGCAGUGGCUGACGCUGAGGCGCGACAGCGUGGGGAGCAAACAGG